GCUCUACACAAUGAUGACUUAAAUUUUUGUUGUUUACCCAGCUGAGGGUAUCUUUGAAGAAAUAAUAAAAAAUAAUAAUGAAAAC